CCUAUGACUAUUAUUUCUUUUAUGUAUGUGGCAUCAACGAAAUCUGUACACCGACUAGAAGUGUGUUAGCACUAAAUUCUAAAUGUCUUUCUAGUGUGUGUGAAUGUCCUAAUUUUAAAUCAUGAAACUAAAUAUAUCCUAUCCUGCUACUGGGUGCCAGAAACUCAUCGAAA